CUCGGGGGCGGCGUUUGAUGACUGGGCCUGUCCCCACGCUCCUCUCUCUUGGUUCUGGGCUGCGCUGGGGAGGCUGUGCCGCCGGCUGGGGAGGGGUCCUGACCCGCCUGGCUGAUGGGAGAGGAGGGUGCUGUGGUUUUUCUCUCUUGCCCCCAGGGGGGACCUGGGUUGGGCUGAUAGAGGGUAGGUGUUGGCACAGGAGUUUUGGAGGUGGAGGCCUGUGCUGGGCGCUUCCUGGAGGGGAGAAACGGGCAGGGUCUUCAGGAAGAGACCAGUGACCUUGCCUGGGAUCCAGCCAGUGAGACGCCCACCGACUCACACCACUAACCCAUGGAGAGACACAAAUGAGGCAGACAGGCGGAAACAAACCUGAAUUUCUUUUCUUUUUUUAAAAAUAUUUUUAUUGAUAUCAGAGAGGAAGGGAAAGGGAGAGAGAGAUAGAAACAUCAGUGAUGAGAGAGAAUCAUUGAUCGGCUGCCUCCUGCACGCCCCCUACUGGGGAUCAAGCCUGCAACCCAGGCAUGUGCCCUUGGCCGGAAUCGAACCCGGGACCCUUCAGUCCACAGGCCGACGCUCUAUCCACUGAGCCAAACCAGCUAGGGCCAGACCCGAAUUUCUUAAGGUGAAUACUGAUCGUUUCCGUCUGGAGCCACUGGCAGUGCAUGUCGGGGCGUUUGUGUUUCUGGAGUUGAUACUUUGGAAACGGUGACUGAUGAUGAAAUGGGCCUGUGGGUGGAAAGCUCUCCCAGUCCCCUUGAUGCGAACUCAGAAACACAGGCCCCAAGACACACAGCCAGAGAGGAAAAGAGCGAAGGCAGACUCAGCCUGUGCAGUGGGGUUGGGAUCUCAGCCAUGCACGCACACACCCGGGGCGAGGCAGGGACUGUCACAGGGCUGUGCACCCCGACACUCAGACACAGACGGACCCCAUGGCUGGGAGAGUCCUCUUCAUGUCAGAGCCACAGCCAGCAGGACCGGUGUCUACAGACACACCCUGUGCUUGGAGAUGCAUUGGAAUCAAAACAACCUCGCCCAUAAUGUAGCCCACACACUGUUGUCACCACGACACCCCCCCCGCAAGCGGGCAGGGGUACAGCCAAGACACUGAACAAAACCAGAUAACAGCCAGCCGGAGCCCGAGAAACACCCCACGUACUGGGAUGAGCCAUUCUGGAAACUCCCUCCAGCGUGGCUCUCUGUGACACAUACCUGUGUGGACACACGACACGGGAACAAUGGCCUGGCCCCCUCCCAAGCACGACCACAGACCGGUGUGAAGAUAGACACAAAAGACGGCUGGAGGCAGACCCCCCCAGACUAUCUGACAUCACACGCAUCUAGAAAGACACCUGAUGACAACAGACCUCUCUUGGGGAACGCAGACACUCGCCAGGAGAUAUGAUGGGCCCCCUCAGAAACACGGUCACAGACAACACACUCAGCUGGCCAGCUCUCCACCUGAUGUCCCGCUCGGACACACACACACACACACAUACACACACACACACCUGAAGGGGGACACGGCCACCGAUGUGCUGGGGGAGGGGAAAGGGUCACGGGAAUCUGCAGUUCACAUGCCGUUACAUCACCGCUCAUAUCAAUGUGGAGAAACUCCACGGCAGACUCGGGGUGCACACCCUCAGAAACUCCCAAAACCCGUUAGAGAGGGUCUCUUUCAACCAAUUGUCAUCUGACGAAUACUAGUCGAGGUUUCCUCUUGGCCAGGCUUUCUCCUUGAUGCUUUCUCCUUUGCCAACAAGUAGCCUCGCCCCGGAAGAAACUCCCCGCUCCUGGCAGGAGGGUUCAGGGAACACAGUAGUGAAUGAGACACACCCAGAGAAGUCGGCUCCACCCACCCAGCAAGGCACCCAACGGGAACCUCUACCCCAGAAACACCUGAGAAACGGGUUCCCACCCACUCAGAAGGCACCUCCAAGGGCUGCAGCCUGCAGAACACAGACGCAGGCACACUUAAGGGCCAUCGGAGGAAUACACAGCCAUGAACACAUCCCGCCCCCCCCCCCCCCCCACACACACACACGCAGAAACCCCAGGGUUCGUCCACUGCUGGGCGCACACCAGCUCCAGAGUUCAGCCCUUUGGCCGUGUCCGCCCAGUGAACGUACCCCCAGGCCUGUCGGGGACCGGGGACCAGGGAUGCACACAGAAUCACAGCCCCGGAAAGACCGAGCCGUAAGGAAAGACGGCCCCACCCCUGGACUAUCCAGAGGUAGCCACAGACCGAGGGGCAGUCAAAAACACCGUAAAGCCACACCCACAGGUAGAUGCCAACAGAAACACGGACAGAAAUCCUGACCCUGGCAGUGAGUUUGCCAAGUAGCCUCGCCCCAGAAGAAACGCCCCGCUCCUGGCAGGAGGGUUCAGGACACACCACAUUCCCCCACGCACCCAGACCCAGACAUGCUGUCAUCGCCUCGUGUGGGGUUCACGCCGGUGCAGACGUGGGUACACAGGCCACACCACAGGCUAGACGUCCCUUCGGGGAGACUUGGGGGAACUUUCAGCCCCGGGCCCAUGAACACGCGCUGCUGGCUCAGUGCCGCUCCAGGAGCAGGCAUCCCUCCGCACUGCAGCCUGUUCCAGACCCACCUAGUGCUCAGGGAGAGACAUAUAUUUUCCCCAAAAAAGGUUCACAAAGUAGUACUUACCCUUCAUACUUGAGGCACAUUCCUGCUCUUUUUUUACUGCUGCUUGCGAGUCACUAACUGCUUUGAUAGCCCUUUUUUAAAACACCCAUCAAGUCGCCCUCAGGGCCCUGUGCGCAGAAGCUGGGGAGGGGAGGGUCUGUGUAAGUGGGCCCCUCCUGGUCUCCCCCUGCACAGGGAGUGGGGGAAGAGCACGUGUGAUCAGGUUCCCAUUGUAUCAUGUCUGUCCCUGGUGUGGAGCCCAGCCCUCCCUGGCUUCCUUGUCACCUCUCUCCUCCUCCAACAGGCCUCCCCCUGCAGUUCAGCCAGUGCAGGGGGCACUAGAGGGCAAGGGACAGUGGGCUUCAUGAGCCCCAUUUUCUGCACUGGGGAUGGGUGGCCCAGGCAGGAGGCAGGUGGCACUGGGGAUGGGUGGCCCAGGCAGGAGGCAGGUGGCCCAGGCAAGAGGCGGGUGGCCCAGGCAGGAGGCAGGUGGCCCAGGCAGGAGGCAGGUGGCACUGGGGAUGGGUGGCCCAGGCAGGAGGGAGGUGGCACUGGGGAUGGGUGGCCCAGGCAGGAGGCAGGUGGCACUGGGGAUGGGUGGCCCAGGCAGGAGGCGGGUGGCUCAGGCAGGAGGCAGGUGGCCCAGGCAGGAGGCAAGUGGCACUGGGGAUGGGUUGUCCAGGCAGGAGGUAGGCCAUUCGGCCCAGACCAGGCGCUCCCAGCGCUUCAAGGGAGGAAUUCUCAGAAGGUCCCUUCUCUCAAGUACAAAGAGGUUUGGAGUCAGACAGCCUCCCGCUCAAAUCCACCUCUCCCUCUUCCUGGCUGGAUCCACCCCAAGAUUUUGUGACCGUGACCUCAGCUCGUCCUCAAGGGGUCACAUGCCUCCUGGGUCCUGGGGUGUGACCUGGUGGCCGGGUGUGGAACUCUGUUCCCUGCCCAGUCACAGCCUUCACUCCGCUACAGCCCAUCACCAGGUGGAGGGCAUGAGACUGAUGUUGCCAGAUCUGACCCCCACCCCAAAUGGAAUUUUCAGUGAAAUCACCUGGUUUCUGAAACGUUGGCUAGAAAGUUUAAUAAUACUGUGCGGGUAUACGGAUAUCUGAGGCCACCCGCUGGCAACCCCUCCGCAUACAGAGCACUCAGCCUGUAGCAAAGAGUGAAUGGGCUCCCCCCCCCCCCCCAUUUUGCCCAGUCAGAGUCACCUCCCUGUUCCUGUCACUCCCCUGCCGUGUCCUCCCCAGAUGUAUCCUCUUGACCUUGUGUCUCCCUUUCUCUCUCUCACCCCUCCUUCUCUCU